rnacentral:rRNA from 1 species
UGGGGAAUUUUGGACAAUGGGCGAAAGCCUGAUCCAGCAAUGCCGCGUGUGUGAAGAAGGCCUUCGGGUUGUAAAGCACUUUUGUCCGGAAAGAAAUCCUUGGCUCUAAUACAGUCGGGGGAUGACGGUACCGGAAGAAUAAGCACCGGCUAACUACGUGCCAGCAGCCGCGGUAAUACGUAGGGUGCAAGCGUUAAUCGGAAUUACUGGGCGUAAAGCGUGCGCAGGCGGUUUGCUAAGACCGAUGUGAAAUCCCCGGGCUCAACCUGGGAACUGCAUUGGUGACUGGCAGGCUAGAGUAUGGCAGAGGGGGGUAGAAUUCCACGUGUAGCAGUGAAAUGCGUAGAGAUGUGGAGGAAUACCGAUGGCGAAGGCAGCCCCCUGGGCCAAAUACUGACGCUCAUGCACGAAAGCGUGGGGAGCAAAACAGGAUUAGAUACCCUGGUAGUCCACGCCCUAAAACGAUGUCAACUAGUUGUUGGGGAUUCAUUUCCUUAGUAACGUAGCUAACGCGUGAAGUUGACCGCCUGGGGAGUACGGUCGCAAGAUUAAAACUUAAAGGAAUUGACGGGGUCAUAGCUGUUUCCU